AUAGCUAGAGCGAACGCAUACGCAUAAGAAUUAGGUGAAGCUAGGUUUAGUUGGUUUAUAACCAGAAGCAGAUGAAGCAUAUGCUAAUGGAGAAUAAACCGACACAGAUUAAACAGAGGCUGAAGAUCUUGGGAAGGAGGUUUUUGGUUUUGAUUCCAAAUAUGACGUUGUAGAAAGAAGCACUGUGCUAACGCACAGGGCUAUAUAAGGGCAUAACCAAUAUAGCACCGAAGCGACCAAGAAAGCAAGGCAAAGCUCUACCGCGAAGAGCUCUUGGUCCUAACCUAAGGGUGAAAGAGGUCGGUGGGUGGUUUAAGCUAAGUAGCCCAGGUCGAGUUAUGUUCAAACAGAAAGAGAAAAAACAGACUUCACGCCAACUAAAUCUUCAUUCUAAUCUAGAAAGAUCGAUUCUCAAGCCCUCCGGUUUGGAAACUACCUCUAAACCCCUUCCGGUAACAACAUCAUCAGCCGGCUUAUUUAGGUAUGGCUAGUUUUCUCGUUUGAUUCCUUCCCCCGAACCGGUUCAUCAAAUCAUUCUGUCACCUCUCAGAACUUUCAUUCAGAGGAGUGUUCGCUUUGUAGGCACGAACUGGUCAAUAUGUGGUGUGUCCACUUACGUCGGUGAGGAAUCGCUAUGCCCUUCCACUGAGUACUCAACUUAGAAAAACAGACGGCCUUAGGGCGCGCCAGUCAAGCUCAUCACAAGAAGAAAGGAUUGAUGGUCGAGUCCCCGUGCAUGAAGUCAGUGGAUUCGAGUGAACUGACCGUACCACAAACCUCCGAUCCUUGAGGAAGCUUCUUACCAAACCAAAGAAAGGGAAUUACAUAUCCUGUUGUCGAUUCCCUUCUCCCGAGUGCUUUCACACUCAGGGUUCCAAACCUUCCAACACUUGAAAAAAAGCUUUAAUGUUAUAUGAGUACUUUACCAUUUCUGGGUAAGCUGCAUCACUUUCCUUUUCUUCAGCGGGGGCUUCUUUUUCUUCCUUUUAUGGAAAUGGCGAAACGCACCUUGCUUCUUUUCUAAGGUAGUGCUCCCAAAGCGUAGGUUGUAGUUUUUUGUUUAGUUCCACCAGGUGGGGUGGGGUAAGUAAGCAUAAGAUUAGGUAGAUCCCAAUCCCUCCGCGUCCGAGUCUGAUUGAUGAAGCUGUUCCCCCGCUAGAUCUUAGUAGAUCUGAGACCUUGCCCAAAUAAAGUGGGAUAAACCACCUGCUUCGAACCGAGUAUAGAAAUGAAGGUUCGGAUUUCGCUUCUUUUUGAUUGGGUCGGUGUGAAGUAUGGCUUGUCCAGUUGGAGCAAGCAACCAAAGGAAAUCUCAUAUGUAAAUGCUGGGUUUGCUCCAACCUAUGAAAGGAAGGAAUAAAAACCUCUUGCCGAAUCUCGUUCUGACUUUCGUGUGUCGCUAGAUUAAGCUUUCGAUUUUGUUGGUGUUCAGUGGACCGAUCCAGCCUUUGAACCGCUCGUUACGACGUCAGUUUGCUAACUCAACUUCAAAGAAUCAAGUUCCUAUUGAGGUGGUCUUUUUUUUCGAGUUUAUUUUGCCUUAAAAAGGUGGUUUUGCCUAGUCCUAUGCAACGUCUUUCACGGGUAGAUAUCGCCCUAAUUGAGCUGGUUGAGGAGAUGAAAGGCUCAAUUCACUCGUCACGAAAAUAAUAAGGAUUAUUAUAGCAUAAAAAAGAAUAGAGGUGUGAAUGCGAUGAACAGUAGUGUUGUAGAUCGGUGCGAAAUCCCCUUGUUGACUCCCUCCCCGUCUUCCUCUUGGAAUGCGCUGGACCACCUUAAGGGCGAGCGAAGUCUUUGAUCUUCGAACCUACUCUCCUGUUUGUUGAGUUUCUUGUCCCGUCAACGAACAGAGCACACCGCGCAAAAAAGGGCAUUAGCGCGAAGCAAAGGCAUAGAGGCUAGCGCGUACUAAGCAUAGUCUUAUAGGCCCUAGCGCGCAGAGCAAUAGUAAUCUACUUCACUCGAGAAGAAGAAAGGUAGGCAGUUGCACUCAGAGCGCGCAAAGAGCACUACGCAACAACGCGCUCCUGCUAUCUUACUGUCGAGACCAUUCCUUUGUAUUGCUUACAUGCCUCUUGUUAGGAUUUGGAAGAAUUUUUUCCUAUAGAUUUCUUGGUCCAUACCAAGUACAGCAUCUCCCCUGACAUGGCUAAACUAAUAAAGGAAGCGACAGGUCCAGAAUGUGCUCUGCGGAAGUUGGAAUUUCCCUGCCCGCAUCCUUACCCCACAUUCAUGACCGAGUAAUGGAGGCUUUCACCGAGCCGAAAGUGGAUGAUCCUUUAGAUCUGAAGCCGAGCACUCGAACUGUUGGUUUAGCAGUUUUUGUAGGAAUGAUUCUAAUAAGUCUCGCUUUAGGAGACGCGGUUACAGAAACGAGAACUUUUUUUUAACCGCAGCGAGAGAGAGGAGAGAUGGUAGUUGGUAUUGUUCCGGUCGGCUGAUUGCUUCUCUCUGGGCUGGCCCAUGUGUGAUGAUGGGGAUUUCUUCAAAUCAACGCGCGACAUGACACAGGGAAGACAAGCACCUGAGGAAGAUGGAAUCCAAAAAAGGUGUGGUCUCAAGGUUAGAUAAGAUUGUCCUCCGGAUUAUGUGUGGACCUGGUUCCAGCUGAUCUACGACCACCCUCAGUAGGAACAUACAUCCGUGAUUACUUAAUUUAAUGCAAGUUUAACAAGAUGGACAAGCAAACUGCUGCAAGGUCCGAAAAUGAAACCGGGGUGGUCCCGCUGGACAGAAGAAUCUCGCUUUGCCAGGGCGCCCCUGAGGCGCGCCUGCGGUUCUCGUGAUCAAGGGUUAGCCGGAAGAAGUCUAUCUUACUCCGUCAGAGUUACAAAAGACGAAUUCUAAUUACACGUUCUCUUCUUUCUUUUUUAGUUUAUCAGGACCCCUCUCUCGCUGAGCAAGCCGCACCCAUAGGGGUGGGUCCCCUCCCUGUUAAGUUGCUAAAAGAUAAAGGUUGUGUUUUGACAUGCUAGUUCUUUCUUCUAAAAAGUUUUUUUAUUUUAAUAAUCUUUAUAAUUUGACUCAUUCUUUUUCGUCUCUUUGCUCUUUAGAUCGUUUUCUGUUAGAAAUAGAGAGAGUAUUCCAGACCUUUCGAGCAGAAUACGCCAACUUGAGCAAUGCUGAAGUCAGUCAAAUCACAAGGGCAGUGCGAUCGGGCUCAACUAAAUAUUUUCCUUGCGCCGGGUUGCCCUUCCUAAGGAAUCUUAAAAUAAUAAGUUCUGGCAGGGUGCAUAUGCUCCAGAGAUUCCCGAACUUGCUUUUGCUUGCAUUCCUUCAGCGAAGGAUGAUCUUAUUUUCUUGGCGCUCUCACGCAUUCUCAGUAUGACUUUUGACUCCUCCGCUCUAUUUUUGAGAAAUUCAUUUGCUUUUCAAAGAGGCAAGGGAAAAGAGGAAUUCAUCAAAUAAAUAAAAAAUAUAGGUUCUGUCAAGAUGUUGUUAUACGUUGAUUUCAAUCAAAGCUUACAUACAAUAGCUCGAGAUCGUCUUCUAUCGAAAUUGGAACCUUCCUUGCCGGAUCCUCUCAUUUAUAAUUUGAUUCCGUCUUUCUUGA